CACAGAGAGUUGACGACUGAAGACUGAAGCAGGACUGACUUCAGAUCAGAAGAUGAUUGACUGUGUGGAGGAAGAGGAGGACAGAGCAGAGUCUCUAGUCUCUGGCUGUCUGUCUAUGAAGAGUGAUCAGUCUAAAGAUGAACUUCUAUUCUUCAGUAAUGAAGCUGGACCCUCAGAGUCAAAAGUUCAGUCCAGACAGAGAGCAGAGUCUCCAGUACCCAGCUGUCUGUCUAUGAAGAGUG